UAGAUGAUUUUAGUGCUUGCACUAAAUGAAACUAGAUACAAGCGAGCGGCGGACGGGUGAGUAACACGUGGGUAACCUGCCCAAGAGACUGGGAUAACACCUGGAAACAGAUGCUAAUACCGGAUAACAACACUAGACGCAUGUCUAGAGUUUGAAAGAUGGUUCUGCUAUCACUCUUGGAUGGACCUGCGGUGCAUUAGCUAGUUGGUAAGGUAAUGGCUUACCAAGGCGAUGAUGCAUAGCCGAGUUGAGAGACUGAUCGGCCACAUUGGGACUGAGACACGGCCCAAACUCCUACGGGAGGCAGCAGUAGGGAAUCUUCCACAAUGGACGAAGGUCUGAUGGAGCAACGCCGCGUGAGUGAAGAAGGGUUUCGGCUCGUAAAGCUCUGUUGGUAGUGAAGAAAGAUAGAGGUAGUAACUGGCCUUUAUUUGACGGUAAUUACUUAGAAAGUCACGGCUAACUACGUGCCAGCAGCCGCGGUAAUACGUAGGUGGCAAGCGUUGUCCGGAUUUAUUGGGCGUAAAGCGAGUGCAGGCGGUUCAAUAAGUCUGAUGUGAAAGCCUUCGGCUCAACCGGAGAAUUGCAUCAGAAACUGGUUGAACUUGAGUGCAGAAGAGCGAGAGUGGAACUGCCAUGUGUAGCGGUGGAAUGCGUAGAUAUAUGG
rnacentral:rRNA from 1 species